AAAGAAAAGGUGUUCUACAUACUAUCUGAAGUCUAUUAUAGUUUAAUUAUUGAUCAAUUAUUUAAGAUCGAUUCACUGAAAGAUAAUUCAGAUGCAACCUCUGUCAACCUCUGUGUGGUUUUGAGGUUCUGUUACUUUCUAACUACUUCUUGGCUUCCGGAGUACCACAGUAUAUCACAUUAUUCCAGAGUACCACAGUAUAUCACAUUAUUCCAGAGUACCACAGUAUAUCAAAUUAUUGCAGAGUACCACAGUAUAUCAAAUUAUUGCAGAGUACCACAGUAUAUCAAGUUAUUCCAGAGUACCACAGUAUAUCACAUUAUUCCAGAGUACCACAGUAUAUCAAAUUAUUGCAGAGUACCACAGUAUAUCAAAUUAUUGCAGAGUACCACAGUAUAUCAAGUUAUUCCAGAGUACCACAGUAUAUCAAAUUAUUCCAGAGUACCACAGUAUAUCAAAUUAUUCCCGAGUACCACAGUAUAUCACAUUAUUCCCGAGUACCACAGUAUAUCAAAUUAUUGCAGAGUACCACAGUAUAUCAAGUUAUUCCAGAGUACCACAGUAUAUCAAAUUAUUCCAGAGUACCACAGUAUAUCAAAUUAUUGCAGAGUACCACAGUAUAUCACAUUAUUCCCGAGUACCACAGUAUAUCAAAUUAUUCCGGAGUACCACAGUAUAUCACAUUAUUCCCGAGUACCACAGUAUAUCACAUUAUUCCCGAGUACCACAGUAUAUCACAUUAUUCCCGAGUACCACAGUAUAUCACAUUAUUCCCGAGUACCACAGUAUAUCACAUUAUUCCAGAGUACCACAGUAUAUCACAUUAUUCCGGAGUACCACAGUAUAUCACAUUAUUCCGGAGUACCACAGUAUAUCACAUUAUUGCAGAGUACCACAGUAUAUCACAUUAUUCUGGAGUACCACAGUAUAUCACAUUAUUUCUUUAAUAAAUGUAUUAGAAAAUGUUUGAAGUCACUCAUGUCUUCAGUCUUAAUCAUUUAA
rnacentral:lncRNA from 8 species